UACGUAGGGUGCGAGCGUUGUCCGGAAUUACUGGGCGUAAAGAGCUCGUAGGUGGUUUGUCGCGUUGUUCGUGAAAACUCACAGCUUAACUGUGGGCGUGCGGGCGAUACGGGCAGACUGGAGUACUGCAGGGGAGACUGGAAUUCCUGGUGUAGCGGUGUAAUGCGCAGAUAUCAGGAGGAACACCGGUGGCGAAGGCGGGUCUCUGGGCCGAUACUGACGCUGAGGAGCGAAAGCGUGGGGAGCGAACAGG
rnacentral:rRNA from 1 species